rnacentral:RNase_P_RNA from 1 species
GGAGUAAGUCAGACGAUCGCCGGCCCGCCGGGCCGGAGGAAAGUCCGAACACCACAGGGCAGGGUGCUCCAUAACGUGGAGUCGCGGUGACGCGAAGGAAAGUGCAACAGAAAGCAAACCGCCUUUGGGGGAUUUUCCCCAGGGGUAAGGGUGAAACGGUGCGGUAAGAGCGCACCAGUUCCCCGGGUGACCGGGGAAGCUCGGCAAACCCCACCCGGUGCAAGACCAAAUAGAGGAGCGUUCGAGGGUGGCCCGCCCAAGCUCCCGGGUAGGUCGCAUGAGGUGACGGGCAACCGGCACCCUCAGAGGAAUGAUCGUCGCCCGCCAAGGGGUGACCCGCGGCGGGAACAGAACUCGGCUUAUGAAUUGCUCCGGCC